GCGGUGGCGGCGCUGGUGGAUACGGCAGCUCUGGUGCCGGUGCAGGAGACGGUGGUGAGCCGCAUCACGGCCAACCUGGCAGCGGCGAUGGAGAUGGGGCUGGAUACAAGGGACUCUACGGCGGCGGAGCCUGGAGCAAGCGCGGCCACUUCCGCGGCGGAAGGUCAGCGCACAAGGACGGUGGCGACAACAACUGAAGCUGCCCGUCGUUGUCUGCAACCGUAUGCUGAAUUGCUGAUAACUGGCAAUGGCAGAAAUAUGUCUGGUCCAGAAAUCACGGAAAUAUGUAGCUAUGCGCGAUGUAGUAUAGUGCCUCUAUGGUGUUAUCAACCGUGCUU
rnacentral:lncRNA from 1 species